AGGAUCAACUAUGGGGUGUUGGCUCUCCUCGCAAAGGUGAUUGGGGCAAAGAACAUUCGUCAACUCAGGCUGAUCAUGUUAACCAAUGUGAGCUUCUGCUUGUUUGCUAAAUGUUUUGCGGCAAGGUUGUCCCCGGUGGCUCACAAAAUUAGCCAUCCAAAUCAGACGGUCUUUAUUAAAGUGAGGAGUAUUUUGGAUGGAAUUGUGGUAUUGCACGAAGUGAUUCAUGAAUUCAAAUACACCAAGAGAGGUGUUCAUCUUAAAAUUGAUUUUGAAAAAGCAUACAAUCAUGUCCGGUGGGAGUUUUUAGAGGAAGUUCUACACAAGAAAGGUUUUUACCACAAAUGGAUGAGCUGCGUGAUGCAAUUGGUCCGAGGUGAAAACAUCGAUUUUUUCAAAAAUAAAAAGAACAUAACCGAAGGGGUGCUGGGGCGUAGGUCCACAACUCACAAAUCUCUGUUUGCUAAGACGAUUCGCAAGGUUCAACACCUUUUACGACUGGGACAAAAUUUGUAG
rnacentral:rRNA from 1 species